rnacentral:rRNA from 1 species
UACGUAGGGGGCUAGCGUUGUCCGGAAUCAUUGGGCGUAAAGAGCGUGUAGGCGGCCCGGUAAGUCCGCUGUGAAAGUCCAGGACUCAACCCUGGGAUGCCGGUGGAUACUGUCGGGCUCGAGUCCGGAAGAGGAGUGUGGAAUUCCUGGUGUAGCGGUGAAAUGCGCAGAUAUCAGGAAGAACACCCGUGGCGAAGGCGGCUCUCUGGGACGGUACUGACGCUGAGACGCGAAAGCGUGGGGAGCGAACAGG